rnacentral:lncRNA from 1 species
UUUCAUUCUAUUUAUGUGUUUUAUACAUUUCUCAAGCGAGUACUUUCCCUCUAUGCAGUGGGAGAACCAAAUGGCAUUCCUUUAUCCCCCUACCCCAUUCUCAACAUCCCAAACCACAUCACAGAAGUCCACCAAACACAGCCAGUGUUUGUGGAACAGGCGAUACGCUCUGCACCCCCUCAGGUGCUGGUAGUGACGCAGCAGGAGGUUCGGCGUCGGUUGGGUGACGGGCCCACUGUAACUACUUGCCCGUUCUGUCAACACCGUAUCACCACUGUUGUGAGCUACAAACCGGGGGCUGCAGCAUGGGGAGUGUGCUGUCUGCUCACUCUGCUCGGGUUCGUCUGUGGAGUUUGCCUUAUCCCAUUUUGUAUUACAGCACUGCACGAUGUCCAUCAUAGCUGUCCACUCUGCAACAAACACAUAGGGAUACACGUUCGCUGAGAAAGACUGAACACGAUAAUAAAAUCCACAGACAGUGAAUUAAUCA